UGCCAGCAGCCGCGGUAAUACGAAGGGUGCUAGCGUUGUUCGGAAUUACUGGGCGUAAAGAGCAUGUAGGCGGAUGAAUUAGUCAGAGGCGAAAGCCCCGAGCUCAACUUGGGAACUGCCUUUAAUACUGUUUAUCUAGAGUCCGAGAGAGGUUAGUGGAAUUCCCAGUGUAGAGGUGACAUUCGUAGAUAUUGGGAAGAACAACAGUGGCGAAGGCGGCUAACUGGCUCGGUACUGACGCUGAGGUGCGAAAGCUUGGGGAGAAAAUGGGAUUAGCUC
rnacentral:rRNA from 1 species